UCCGAUUUGCAAAAUUCCCGAAUUUCCUUAAUCGGUCCGAUUAACAAACCGAUUAAGAAGUUGUCCGAUUAAGAAAUUUCUCCGAGGAAAUGUUUUAAUCGGAAUCGUAAUCGCUCUGAAUUGCUUAGCGCAGAGUGCGCUAAGCAAUUGCUUAGCGCAGAGUCCGCUGCGUCGGUGCAGCAGCGGAGCAGGCGGAGAGAAGAAAACUGUCGAAACACGGCUGGCUACAACCAAGAUACAAUCUAGUAGCUGCCGCCUUGGAAAUUUACGGACCCUGGGGAGGCGGAACGAAAAAACUCGUGGGGAAGGUCGGCAACUGCAUGGCUUCCGCCACAGGCCAGAAGCGGGCAAAAGAGUUUUUUAGACAGCGGCUUUCUAUUCAAAUGCAACGGGGAAACGCGUUAUGUGUCAUGGGUACGAUCCCCGAGCAGGAUAGCAUUGAAGAAGUGUUUUUGUUAUGAAUUUUGUUUUAGUAAGUACUUAGUAUGUACUUGUAUGUGAUGCUUAUUAAAAGUCAGUUCAUUUUUUUUUACACUGAUCUAGUGUUAAUGCAAUGUGUGACGUUUCUUAAUCGGUUUUGGAGCUUAGCGCACUCUGCCCUUAAUCACUUUUAAUGUUUACGAUUUUAUUUACGAUUAGCACUUCUGUUUCGUUUAGAGCGGUAAUAAUAAUAAUUGUCAGUCUAAAUGGACAGCUUAAGCGAUGAACAACAGCAAGCAGAGGAAAUGGAAGCUGUCGCUAGUAUUUACGGAAACGACCUGCACUACGAAGAUGGGUUUGGAUCGAAAGGAAGAAAUUUCAGCAUUAUCUUGUUUCCCAAGAACGAAACCCAAAUUUCGUUUUUCCUUCCGCCUGGAUAUCCAACGAAAGAGUCUCCCCGGACUACACUUAUUGCCCCUAGCCUGCGUGGCGAACCGCGAAAAGUAAUCGAGAGGAAACUGCAAGAAACAGCGGAGCGUUCUCUGGGACAGUGUUGUUUGUUCCAGCUUGCAGAGGAAGCACGAGAUUUAGUGACACAGGCGGGGAUCCAGGUGGAACCAUUAUUGGAAUCCUCAGUUAAAUCUGCAGCUGCUAGUGAAGAAAAUAUGCAUCCAGAGAACGCGUCCGUAUUGCCUUUGUUGAACCAUGAGAUUUUCCAUGGACGGCCAUUUACCGAACGAAAAAGUACAUUCCAGGCCCAUGUCGCCGCUGUCCGGAGUGUGACGGAAGUGCAUGCCAUUGUAGAUGAAUUGAAACGCAAUCGGAAAAUUGCUGAUGCGACGCACAACAUUAUGGCUUACAGAAUAGAAGGACCUGGGCAGAGCGUAAUUAGCGACUGUGAUGAUGACGGUGAACUGCAAGCCGGUGCGCGGCUUCUGCAUUUGCUCAAUAUUCUGGACGUGAAAAAUAAAGUGGUCGUCGUCAGCAGAUGGUUUGGCGGUGUUUUGCUGGGACCGGAAAGAUUUAAGCACAUAAGCAACGCAGCGCGCGAUCUGUUGGUUCAGCAUACAUAAUCCGAACAUAAUUAUACGUUAAUCAGUGCUAUCCGUGGCUGUUGCUGCAUUCUUUUCAUUUCAAAGCCGUUGUUUUGUUUCGGAGAAUUCAGCGGUAUUUGUUUUUUAACUUUUUACAUUAAAUUACCCACUAGCAUUUUUACCACACACCUCUUGCACAGACGUCAAUUUGCGGACAUGUUAUCAGUCAUAAUAGCACUUGCUAACUAGAGCAGCCACUAUUAAUGAGCAGAUUCCUCAUUGCCGAAAAAAAAGCAUUUGCUACUUCGCAAACAAAUUAUUUCGCAGUGAAAAAAUUUAAAAAGCGAAAUUCUCCCCGCCAGAAUCUCAAAAGGUUACGCAGCUGCUGAAGCGAAAAGCUUGGAACUAAUCAUGUACUAUUGUAGGCAUGCAGAUAUCUUCACACGCCUCUUUGAUGGUUGGAAAGAGAAACCCAAAGCCAUCACUGACGAUUUUUUUGGGAUGAACUUUCUGUCCGUCGGUAUGACGGCUGGUCGGUGCAUAGCCUUGGCAAAGGCUUUAGUAAAUUCGGCAUUCGUGAUGAUUUGUGGAGCAACUGCAUUGUACGCUCCAUGGCACCUGCGCAUUUUACGGAGCAAAAUUUAAGAAAUAGCACGACGAGUGUUACAUAACAAAUUUAUGGACACACAUCUACCGUAUGCUCAUUUCAGGGUGUACUUGUAAAUGUGGGCCAGAUCAUCCAAAUGUAUCCAAGGAAAAGGCUGCUUCCCGUCACCAACCGGUCCACCCAGUCCAAAAUAAAAUGGCCAAUACAAGUUUUUAAUGACGCCACCGUCGCGACCGAGUACAGCCCCACAACGAAGAUUUAUCACACGCACGCCUGACUCGCGUGGUAAAUGCGAAGCCUUUUCCCAGGCAUCCGCCAGUUGAGCCAGAAAAUCAUGUUUGCCUCCCGAACUGGCUUCGGUGUAUUCCUCCGUCGGACUCGGCUGGUAAUAGCCUAGAAACGAAAGAAAGCAAAGGAAAUAACGGCCGCAAAGGAUAUAACGGCUGUCCGACUCGGCAGUACAUACCAACACCGCUUGCAGUAAUAAAUACUUUCGGCUUCGUUUUCGUUGCAAGAAUUACUUCUCCUAAAAACCUGUUAAAUGUGGCAAUAUUACUGCACAAAACGUAUUCUUCCCUCAUUUUUAUCAGUGCGUUGUUCACAAAUGCACGGCUUUAGGUGCAGUCUCACUGCUCAGCCUCACUGCAGUAGAUCGUAGCAAAAACAUCAUC